GACGAACGCUGGCGGCGUGCUUAACACAUGCAAGUCGAACGAAGUGGCGAACGGGUGAGUACUACGUGGGUAACCUGCCCUCCUUUUUGGGAUAAGCCUUGGAAACGGGGUCUAAUACCCACUAAGGUGUGAUGGGCUCGCGGACUAUCAGCUUGUUGGUGUGGUGAGGGCCUACGAAGGCGGUGACGGGUAGCUGGACUGUGAGGGUGACAGGAAACAGUGCGAGUGAGAUACGGCUCAGGCGCGUAGUGGAGGGAGAAGUUGGGGAAUGUGCGCAAGGGGGGAGAGCCUGCUGCAGGGAAGCGGAGUAGGGGAUGAAGGCGUGCGGGUUGGAAACGUCUGUCGCAAUCGAACGGGUAGGUGGAGAAGAAGCGCCGGCUAACUACGUGCCAGCAGCCGCGGUAAUAC
rnacentral:rRNA from 1 species